CAAAAUGUGAUGAUAAGGAAAGUACUUUUUUGAUAGCUUAAAGAGAGUCUCGCUUGGUGGAAAGAGAUAGUGAUAGGAAAAGGAAAAUGGCCUUUGAACAGAUUGGUUGAAUAAGUUAAGAUCAAUUCAGGGACGCCUGUUAUAGCGUGACAGUAUGAUAGUACUGGGAAAGUGGGCUUUUUUAUAAAGCCAAUUAAGGUGGUACCGCGAUAGCUAAAUAGCAAGCUCUCGUCCUUUUA
rnacentral:ncRNA from 1 species